GGGAGCGCAGCGGGCCCCAGCGGCGGGAUAGUGAAGACGCGCGGGACGGCCGCACGGCGAGCCGGCUGGACGCCAGACAAAACGGCGGGUAUGACAUGCAGAGCGACAACGACGACGGCGGCGGGGGGGACGGGGCCGGGCAGCGACACCCUGACAAGGUCAGACGGCGCCGCGAUUACCACGAGGCCACCGCCGGUCGGCUGGGGAAGAUACGAGACGGCGACAACGACCGGCGGCCCUCGCGUCAGGCGGCCGAGCCCCUCUCGGAGCGAGGCGAGAGCUAUCCAGGACGAGGCGAGCCCCGCCCAGAGCGAGAGGAGCCCCGCCCAGAGCGAGGCGAGCCCCGCCCAGAGCGAGACAAGCCCCGCUUAGAGCGAGACGAGCCCCACCUGGAGCGAGGCGAGCCUUGUCUGGAGCGAGGCGAGUCCCGUCUGGGGCGAAGCGAGCUCCUUCCGAAGCGAAGUGAGUCCCGCCCGGAGCGAGGCGAGCCCCGCCCAGAGCAAAAAGGGGCCCGGUCGGUACAAGGCGAGACGGCGGAGCGGAGUCUUGGUCGGACCAGCGCCGACGAAGGCGGACGCGUCGAACGGGCGGGCCGGAAGCGAAGCCGCGAGGACGACGAACCGGCGCCGCUGGAGGCGAAACGUUCCCGAACCGCACAGGGCUUGAGCUCACGACAAGUUCUCCAGACCGUCAAUAUCAAGUCGUUCCUGUCCAAGCUGCACAACAGACAGGACUGAAUGGGGGCGGAUCGACCACUAGCCUGCGUGCGGGCCUGUGCCUUCAGCGCCUGCACCGCUCGGCUGCGGCGGGACCAGUAGUACCAGUUGUGCAUGUCGGUGAAGCCUACGGCGUUGCACCGAUCAGGAGAUGCGUUGACACGGCCAGCCGCCGUGACAGUCGCGUUGCGGUGCUGACACGAUCGUUUCGUGCUGCCUGGGACGAACAGAGUACAAACGCGUCGUUUUGCGACGUUUUUAGUCACUGCGGUCUGACAUGACUUGGUCCAUUUAGUCUCGUCUUGUAGGCGCGUCAUUUGACCCGGGAUGGCGUUGUUGCGUUCGUUGAUGUUCCAUGCUUGCGCCCCAUGCAUUGGAUGGUAACGAUUUCUGUCGUGCCCCGUUUCUGGAGGUAAUUUUCACCUGAUCUAACAGUCAGCAACCAGUUACAUGAUCCAUAGAUAAUUUCACAAAAUACUCGUCGUUUAUAGAAAUAUAACGAUUUUUACGCAUA